UACAGAGGUCUCAAGCGUUGUUCGGAUUCAUUGGGCGUAAAGGGUGCGUAGGUGGCGGGGUAAGUCAGGUGUGAAAUUUCGGAGCUUAACUCCGAAACUGCAUUUGAUACUGCCUUGCCUGAGGACUGGAGAGGAGACUGGAAUUCACGGUGUAGCAGUGAAAUGCGUAGAUAUCGUAAGGAAGACCAGUGGCGAAGGCGGGUCUCUGGACAGUUCCUGACGCUGAGGCACGAAGGCCAGGGGAGCAAACGGG
rnacentral:rRNA from 1 species